rnacentral:lncRNA from 1 species
UCUCAGUCUUUUGUCGAUCUCUCUAUGUUUAGAAAAACUAGGGCACUAAACAAAGUUGAAUCAAAAUAGCCCUAGAAAAAAACUUUUUGUCUCAUUCUUCUCUCCACUUUGGGAAGAAUCCCAUACCUAACUUUUGUCGUGCUCAACAAGAGUACGUACGAGCAAUAGCACAAAUAUUUUGCUUGAUUUCCCCCUCAAAAAUUUAUCACACAUUGAUUCCCUCUUGUAUAUAAAUGUUUCAGAAAGCAUGCAGAAUUUUCAACACACUCAAACAUAUAUAACACAAGUCAUACACAAACACUUAAUCAGCUCCUCGGCAUACACCACUCACAGCCUUUCACGUUAUUUAGCAGCACAAGAGAUUCAAUUCACAUUGAAGAGGAUGUUUAGCACAGGAGUUGCCGGAAUGAUGUUUCUGUCUGUGUUUGAAGGAAGCCUGUCAAUGAGAAACACCGAAAUUGAGCGAAGACCAUACCAUAAGAACUGCAGUUGCGCUCUCCACUCCAAGUCUGGUGUUUGCUCCAACAAUUGUCAGUGGAACCUUUCCUUCGCAAAGAAACGGUCAUGGACCGAUCGUUCCUUAUGGAUACAGGCUACUGCAACAACUCCCAAAUUCUCUUCUGCUCUCGUCACAUCCACAUCCUCUGGGAACAGCGAAAGUGUGGUUGGGGCUCAUAACACGGCCUUGUCACAUAGGCAAUAGUUGAAGGUUUUCAGAGGCUAGAUUGAUCACACGAUGAUUUUGUUGGUAUUCAAAAAAGUUUACUAACUCAAUACCAAAAUAUGUGGGUGAUAAGUUUACAAACUCUAUCACACCUCUCACUUUGCACUCUCAAUAAAAAUUGGACAAAGAAAUAGAGAAAGGAGGGAAGCUACAAGCUUCGGCAAACAAUGCACUUUGAUAUAUUUAAAAGAGUUUGCAAACACACUUCUGAAAUGGAAUGACAAAUCAGAGACAAUACCUAAAGCCUUACGGGAGGCUUAUUUAUACAAGCAGAAAAGAAGGACCACUUAAGUGCUUUUAAUAAAAUAAACACAACAGCACACACAAACAGAUCAUAUGAACUUUGGACAGUCUAGCACACAUAUGCAGCUAUCUUUCCAACUUGCAAUCAACACAGUUUCGGCUAGCACAUCACAUGGCAGCACACUGCUGUCUUGUAAUCAGCUUUCGGUUAACAGAUGGAGGGAGCAAUGAUGUUUAUAUUUGCUGGAAACAACCUGGAAAGAAAAGCUAGCAUCACAUGGAUAGACAGUUAGACAUCACAUGGCUUUUUUAUUUGACUUUCCAACAGAUUUCGGGUUAGUUAGAAGAAAUUAAAAAGGUUAGGAUAUGAGAAGCAAUUUUAAUUGUUAGUUUCUGUAAACUUAUAUAUCCUAUAGUACUCCAGCACUAGUACGUACUACUCAAGUUCAAAUUGAUUUUGAGGAAUGGCGCUUGGGGGUUCAUUUAAUUUCUUCUACAAAUGUAAAUUCUUGAAAGUACAUAUUUCUCGUGUAACUAAACAGUGUCACAUUUCUCAUCUAUAUUUUGUAAAACAUCCUUUCAGAACCACCGCUCAAGUACUUUUUUUUUUUUUUCACUUUUCGUAUAUACCUUGCAAGUCAUUAGUAUUUGAUGAGCCAAAGAAAUGUUUUCGUUUCGCUUCAUUGCAGAAAAUUUCCAAGUGAAGAUCCUAUAUUAGUUUUACAUAGGCCAAGAAAAAGCCUCCAUUUUCUUAGGUAGGUAAGGACAAAAUGGUAUUGAUAAUUCUGUAUGCAAAAAGAGGCAAAUUAAAGAAGAACAAGAUAAAGAGUUUCUUUUUCUUUUCUUUCUUUUUGUCAAAUUUUAUAGUUUAAUGAUUACAGUUAGGCAAUAGAUACCAGCAAGAGGAGUAAGGUGGUUUCACUUGAUCACUUUCGAUGGAGUUUUUUAUGUUUGUUUUAUAUUUUCUAAUUAAAGCCAAAGGAAAGAGAGGAGAGAUAGAAACAAGAGUUAAGAGAAGAUAUCAAUGAAAACAAAUAGAGAAAACGAAAGUUGAUCAAUAGAAUAUUAGGCAAAUAAUUCUUGAAUUCUUGAAUUUUUGAAUUUUUAUUAAAUCAUUCUACAUAUUCUUCUGCAUUUUUCUCUCUGAAAAUGUCUUCAACGGAGGGGGCCUGGUGAAAAAUGCGACCAUCUCUCACAUUGUGAGUGCACGAGCUAUGAACUUCUUUGUGAGUUUUACAUUUGAAUACUAGUGGUAUUUCUACUUUAAACUACACUAAGGGGAAUGAGAGGAUUUGAACCUGAGAUUCAGUUUUAGUGGGUUGAAGAAAAGGACCCUAACCACUAGAGUAAUCUACCGCUUAUAACUACAUUUUUAAUAUGAGAAGGACAAAUUUUUAAUUUUAUGACAUAACUAUAUUUUCCAAUGGAAUUUUACAGUUUAUAAUUUUCUUUCGACAAAAAUCAGCCUACGAUAAUAAAAAGUUAAAUUGCAAGACAUACAAAUUAAUUUGGUUACCCUAGCAUUACCCUUCCCAAUUUAAGUAAUUUCCUCCACUACAAAAGCACGCAGCUUGCAUAUAAAAUAGAAGGCAAAACUGUUGCUAGAUUAUGUACUUUUUUUAUCACUCCCAACAAUUCAAGAGAGUACGAGGAGUUUGUUCAUCUAAAGCAGACGAGUGAAAGCACAAGUACAUGGCGGUAUGAGCGAACCAGACAACACCAGAAUUUAUAUGCGAAGCACAAGCACAUGCCGGUACUCCUGCAUUUAGAAAAUUUUAUUCUCAGUUGGAUCUUGUACGAAGCUGUAAUUGUAGUUACUAUAUUGGACAACGAUAUCGGAUCUUUCGACCGAAAAGAGAGAACGAGUAAACACCUAGGGAGAGAACGACCCCAGCGAAUAGGAGCCAAUUAUAUUUUAACCAAAUUUUCUAACCAAUUCAAGGUUUUCUCCGGGACUUGAUGCUAAAUAAUAACCAUGGAAUCAUGAAUCAUAGAUUGAGAUGCAAACCAUCGGCAAAAAUUCGACAAAUAGAAUUGUAGUUAAACCUAAAGAUGCACCCUCUCAACUCUGAUUGAUGCAAACUAACUUAUAUAAUAAUAUCAAAUCGUUACUUUUCCAUGUGAGUGAUUACUAUAUCGUUUACUUGUAUAACGAAAACUGGGAGGCAGAUUGUCUGCCCUCCUGUUUGGGUGCCCUUCCCAUUCCCUUAAUGGGCAAUUUAUUCCUAGAAACUAAACUUUGCAAAAUUUGAGAAGAUGGAUGACCUAACCUAGAGUGCCAAAUUGAAUUGGACACCCUAGUACCUAAAAAUGCAGACACACCUUUAUUUGAAGAUGAAACACCAGAAAAGGGGUAGAAUCCAUUUCUACUUGGGCCUUGGAAAAGCAUCCUCCCCAUGUGAAGUUCCUGAAUAGAGUAUGAGUUGGGAUAUAAGGUUAGAGAGCAGUUAUUAUCAUUUGUAAAGCAAUGGAUGGAAAUAACAUUGGUUGAUGCAUUUGGGCACAGUAGUGUAUUGGGUAAUGUAAAAGUGGAUUUAGGUGUACGAAUGCAAGUGUUGCCUAUGUGUGAAAUUGUUAAACUUGUUCCACCAACAACUCCAUUGACUUGGUCCAUGCCAUUAUAAGGACGAGGAUGUGAAACAGUAGCAGGAUUAUUGGUGAUGUGAGCAUUUGCCCCUGAGUCAAACAACCACUCAUGUAUGGUAGGUACUGUUGCAGAAGCAGGAGGUACAGUAGCAGCAAAAGCUUGUAGUCGUGGGGCAGGACGCGUCCCUCAUAGGACAUGUUUAGGCGGUUGAAACAAUCGAUCGCAGAAUGACCAUGAUGACUACAGAUUUGACAUUGAAUCCGUCCAGAAGUGAAAUUACCUUGGGAGUGAGCGGGGCCGAGAAUCCCAUCAUUGUGGCGAGAGUGGGACCCUUGGUAAGAGUGAGACCCAUUGUGUUGAGGUUGGUGAGAAAAAGGAGAGUUGCAAUGUCUAUUUGAAGAGCCACGACCAUUAUUGAAAUUACUACGACCGUGGAACCCAGUAGAGGAUCCUCGUCCGUGAAAAACAGUAGGUGUACGAUCUCCAUUGCGAACCGCUGCAAGAGCAGUGAGGCCGCUGUCAGUACCAAAUGCAGAAUGCAUUUUUUGUCGUCUUUCAGCUUCAAGGAGAAGUGCUUCUAAAGCACUAUAGGUAAUAGCCUCAUCACAAGCUUGGGCUGAUGCAACAGUGCUUUCAUAGGCAGGGCCGACGUUGUUGAGAAUGAUGGCGACAAUGUCGGAGUCUGAAAUAGGAGCACCAGAGAGAGAAAGGGUAUCUGUGAGACAAUUAAUUUUAUCCAAAAAUUCGGAAAUGGAAGAAUCACCUCUGUGAGUAUUCAUCAACUCACUAUGAAGCUGGAAAAGGCGACUGGUUGACUGAGAAGCAUAUCGAUCACGUAAUGUUGUCCAGGCAGAAUGAGAGCUUGUUUUCCCAAUUAAAGCAGCAAGUAUGGUGGGGUGAAUGGAAGAGUUGAUCCAAGACAUGACGGAAACUUGCGCGACGUAUCAAAUUUCGUCGCGCAAACAUACUUUGCGCGACGCUACAAAGAAACCGUCGCGCAAACAUACUUUGCGCAACGACACUUUGAGCGACGCCAGGCUUCGUCGCGCAAAGAUGUUUUGCGCAACGUAGGUACCCCUGCGUCGCGCAAGGCCGUUUUGCGCGACGCCAGGCUUCGUCGCACAAAGUUUUGGCGCCAAAUCAAGAUAAUUUACCACUUUUUUCCUAAUUUUGCGCGACGCUGGUGCACAUACGUCACGCAAAGAUGUUUUGCGCGACGUAGGCAUCCCUGCGUCGCGCAAAACAGCUUUGAGCGACGUAUGUCUUUGUCGCGUGAAGCUGUUUUGCGCGACGUAGGUAAAUAUUUUUUUUUUUUUUGGGCCUAUCUUUUGGGGUUCUUGCAUUGCCUUUUUCUUUUGUUGUAUCCACUUGUGUAAAUGUUUUAAAUUGACGAUCGAAUUAAUUCAUUGUAUUCAUAUAGGGUUAAGGAAUGUAGCUGUAAAAAGUCAUCAAAAUCGGAGUUAAAAUAACCGUUAAAUCGUGAUUUUUCAUUUAUCGCCGUCGAAAAGGUUUGUCCCAUUACUUGAUAUCUGAAUAUUUUUUUUGCAAUUUUUAGCAUAUGCGAUCUCGAAACAUGUACAAACAAGUUUGACGGUUGGAUCGUUGAAACUAAUUUCGUACAAUGCGUUUCCCAUCAAAACAAUAGAUUUACUAACACUUAAAGUUUAUUUAUACUUUCAUUAAGUAUAAUAUAAAAUUUUGUGGUAUUCACUUUUGUAAAUGUUUUAAUUCGUUGAUCGAAUUAGUUCAUAAGCAAAAGGGAAAUACAUAUUUAAAAAAAACAAAAAAAAAAGAAAAACAAAGGCUUUGCGCGACGUAGGUACCCUUGCGUCGCGCAAAACAUCUUUGCGCGACGUAGGCCUACGUCGCGCAAAGCGUUUUUUUUUUUUUUUUUGGGCCUUUUGCUUUUCUUUUGGGGUUCUUACAUUGUCUUUUGCUUUUGUUGUAUCCACUUAUGUAAAUAUUUUAAAUUGACGAUCGAAUUAGUUCAUUGUAUUCAUAUAGGGUUAAGGAGUGUAGCUGUAAAAAAUCAUCAAAAUCGGAGUUAAAAUAACUGUUUUAUAGUGAUUUUUCGUUUAUAACCGUCGAAAAGUUUUGUCCCGUUACUUGAUCUCUGAAUGUUUAUUUUUUAUGAUUUUUGGCAUAUACGAUCUCGAAGCAUAUACAAACAAGUUUGACGGUUGGAUCGUUGAAACUAGUUUCGUACAAUGUGUAUCCCAUCAAAACAAUGACCAUGGAAUCAAAGACUGAUAUGCAAACUAUCGACAAAAAUUCGACAAACAGAAAAACUAAAGAUGCACCCACUCAACUCUAAUUGGUGCAAACUAAUAUAAUAAUAUCAAACCGUUACGUUUCCAUGUGAGUGAUUACUAUAUCGUUUACUUGUAUAACGAAAGCUGAUGCUUGAAUGAGACCUACAUGUCAGUAUUUGCAUGGAAUCAAUCGCCAAACAAGGCCUAAUAAUACAAUGUGCAGCCUUUUCUCACUAGUUAGGUAAAUAACGCCUUGUUGAAUCAAUGCAUGCUAACAGCCUCAGACUAAACUAAUUAGUACUUAGAUUCAAAAGCCAAGCCACGAAAUGGAAAGCCAAGUCGAACGCUUCUCUCAGUCUUUUGUCGAUCUCUCUAUGUUUAGAAAAACUAGGGCACUAAACAAAGUUGAAUCAAAAUAGCCCUAGAAAAAAACUUUUUGUCUCAUUCUUCUCUCCACUUUGGGAAGAAUCCCAUACCUAACUUUUGUCGUGCUCAACAAGAGUACGUACGAGCAAUAGCACAAAUAUUUUGCUUGAUUUCCCCCUCAAAAAUUUAUCACACAUUGAUUCCCUCUUGUAUAUAAAUGUUUCAGAAAGCAUGCAGAAUUUUCAACACACUCAAACAUAUAUAACACAAGUCAUACACAAACACUUAAUCAGCUCCUCGGCAUACACCACUCACAGCCUUUCACGUUAUUUAGCACAAGAGAUUCAAUUCACAUUGAAGAGGAUGUUUAGCACAGGAGUUGCCGGAAUGAUGUUUCUGUCUGUGUUUGAAGGAAGCCUGUCAAUGAGAAACACCGAAAUUGAGCGAAGACCAUACCAUAAGAACUGCAGUUGCGCUCUCCACUCCAAGUCUGGUGUUUGCUCCAACAAUUGUCAGUGGAACCUUUCCUUCGCAAAGAAACGGUCAUGGACCGAUCGUUCCUUAUGGAUACAGGCUACUGCAACAACUCCCAAAUUCUCUUCUGCUCUCGUCACAUCCACAUCCUCUGGGAACAGCGAAAGUGUGGUUGGGGCUCAUAACACGGCCUUGUCACAUAGGCAAUUAGUUGAAGGUUUUCAGAGGCUAGAUUGAUCACACGAUGAUUUUGUUGGUAUUCAAAAAAGUUUACUAACUCAAUACCAAAAUAUGUGGGUGAUAAGUUUACAAACUCUAUCACACCUCUCACUUUGCACUCUCAAUAAAAAUUGGACAAAGAAAUAGAGAAAGGAGGGAAGCUACAAGCUUCGGCAAACAAUGCACUUUGAU